AUCUCCACACUUUCUCAUUAUCCACACAGCUUACGCGUGCCCCCACGCAUCCCAGCUCAUCUACACAUAGGUACCCCCGCGCUCAGCCAUUCCUCCGGUUUCCGCAAGAAAAUGGUCAGCUUCCUCGCCCUUGAAGUAAACCUCGUGAUGGUGCCAGUCCUGACUCUCUUUCUCCUCUACUGCGUUCCCAUACGAGCCAUCUCCGUCACAGCGGAGCGCAUCACUCGCCUUGUGGAAGGGUAUAACAUCAACGGAUUGACAAUUAUGUCCGCCAUGGCCAUCAUAUCGUCUUUCUCCUUCCUUUUCCACAUCCUCGAGUGGAACUCCAAGUAUGCCGCGAAGCAGCGCUUCACCGAUAUAAGCCUGCAGCUGCAGCAUGACAACAAGCGGCUGAGACUGGAGCGCAACAUGUACAUCCAGCUUGUUAUCUGCGUUCUGUGCCUCGCUGUCAAGAAGUGUGCAACGCUUCUGAGACAUCAAGAACCUCGCCGCGAAGCAUCCGCUGCUCCUUUUCGCGCAGCUGCAGCAACGGCGCACACGAAGGCAGCGUAAUCGUGUGUGUUGGCGCACAUUCAUACUCUCUAUCGUAGAAGUUUUUCCGUUGCCGUCGUCGCCGAACUGUAUUCUCUCUCCAUCCGUUAUCUUGCUCCACGCCCAACUUCAUCUCAGCAAAGUUGCUAAUGCUUUCAGCCAAGUUUUCUCUUGGCUGCAGCACAGCGCGCUGCGGCUGCAUCAAUAGCAUCCUUUCAUCCACGUUAGUGUACCUCGGGUAUUCUGAUACGAGCUUUCUCUCUGUGCACCCGUUCCUUUCUGCAUGGCACUCACCGGCUUCUUUCAACCACAUCGUUCUCCACUUCCCACCUUUGAUUUCACGACCAAG
rnacentral:misc_RNA from 1 species